CCUGGUUGGGAGGAAAGAGGAAACAGCAGCUUCUGGAGGAGAAGUUACAGUGGUGCAGAUCACACUUUGAGCCACAUGAACUGCUAGUCUCUACCCUGCAGUCUACUAGAGAAACUUGGGCAUAUGGGCAUGGAGACAAUUGGGUCUUUCCAAGGAUGGUUUCGGUACUUUUUGUUCACAGUCUGGGUGAUGAAUGUCGCAAUGCUGUUCCUGCUAACACACCUGGAAAAACAGGUGAUGGUGAUACAAAUGCAAUGCAAGCAAGCCAAGAGCAAUGCUCCCAGAAGCAGAUUUGAAGCCAGAGAUAGCCAUGCGGAGUACGAGCAGAUAUGAGAGAAACUGCACAUGCUUUUGAAAUGAUGCUGAAUCAAAAACAGCUGGUGUGGUUUUCCUAUUUGUUUUUUGUUUUUUUCACAUUUCAAAGAGAUAAAAGAAUAAAUUAUACCCCAUAAUGUAAA